GACGAACGCUGGCGGCGUGCUUAACACAUGCAAGUCGAACGGAAAGGCCCCUUUGGGGGUACUCGAGUGGCGAACGGGUGAGUAACACGUGAGUAACCUGCCCUUGACUUCGGGAUAACUUCAGGAAACUGGGGCUAAUACCGGAUAGGAAUCCUUGCUGCAUGGUGGGGGUUGGAAAGCUUCGGCGGUUUUGGAUGGACUCGCGGCUUAUCAGCUUGUUGGUGGGGUAGUGGCUUACCAAGGCUUUGACGGGUAGCCGGCCUGAGAGGGCGACCGGCCAAAUUGGGACUGAGAGACGGCCCAGACUCCUACGGGGGGCAGCAGUGGGGAAUAUUGCACCAUGGGCGGAAGCCUGAUGCAGCAACGCCGCGUGCGGGAUGACGGCCUUCGGGUUGUAAACCGCUUUCAGCAGGGGCGAAGCUUGUGGUGACGGUACCUGCAGAAGAAGCACCGGCUAACUACGUG
rnacentral:rRNA from 1 species